AUGGGCCCCAAGAGGCGACAGCUGACGUUCCGGGAGAAGUCACGGAUCAUCCAGGAGGUGGAGGAGAAUCCGGACCUGCGCAAGGGCGAGAUCGCGCGGCGCUUCAACAUCCCGCCGUCCACGCUGAGCACGAUCCUGAAGAACAAGCGCGCCAUCCUGGCGUCGGAGCGCAAGUACGGGGUGGCCUCCACCUGCCGCAAGACCAACAAGCUGUCUCCCUACGACAAGCUCGAGGGCUUGCUCAUCGCCUGGUUCCAGCAGAUCCGCGCCGCCGGCCUGCCGGUCAAGGGCAUCAUCCUCAAGGAGAAGGCGCUGCGCAUAGCCGAGGAGCUGGGCAUGGACGACUUCACCGCCUCCAACGGCUGGCUGGACCG
rnacentral:lncRNA from 1 species